UACAGAGGGUGCGAGCGUUGUUCGGAAUUAUUGGGCGUAAAGGGCGCGUAGGCGGUGCGGUAAGUCACCUGUGAAAUCUCCUGGCUCAACUGGGAGCUUGCAGGUGAAACUGCCGUGCUGGAGUGUGGGAGAGGUGCGUGGAAUUCCUGGUGUAGCGGUGAAAUGCGUAGAUAUCGGGAGGAACACCUGUGGCGAAAGCGGCGCACUGGACCACAACUGACGCUGAGGCGCGAAAGCUAGGGGAGCAAACAGG
rnacentral:rRNA from 1 species